rnacentral:rRNA from 1 species
UUCCAGACUCCUACGGGAGGCAGCAGUGGGGAAUAUUGCACAAUGGGGGAAACCCUGAUGCAGCGACGCCGCGUGAGCGAUGAAGUAUUUCGGUAUGUAAAGCUCUAUCAGCAGGGAAGAAAAUGACGGUACCUGACUAAGAAGCCCCGGCUAACUACGUGCCAGCAGCCGCGGUAAUACGUAGGGGGCAAGCGUUAUCCGGAUUUACUGGGUGUAAAGGGAGCGUAGGCGGCAGUGCAAGUCAGAAGUGAAAGCCCGGGGCUCAACUCCGGGACUGCUUUUGAAACUGUACAGCUUGAUUGCAGGAGAGGCAAGUGGAAUUCCUAGUGUAGCGGUGAAAUGCGUAGAUAUUAGGAGGAACACCAGUGGCGAAGGCGACUAUCUGGCACAUAACUGACGCUGAGGAGCGAAAGCGUGGGUAGCAAACAGGAUUAGAUACCCCCGUAC